rnacentral:rRNA from 1 species
GACUGGCAUUCCUUAGUACGGCGAGUGAACCGGGAUGAGCUCAAAUUUAAAAUCUGGCGUCUUUCAGGCGUCCGAGUUGUAAUCUAUAGAGGCGUUUUCCGCGCCGGACCGCGUCCAAGUCCCUUGGAAUAGGGUAUCAAAGAGGGUGACAAUCCCGUACUUGACGCGACAACCGGUGCUCUGUGAUACGUUCUCAACGAGUCGAGUUGUUUGGGAAUGCAGCUCUAAACGGGUGGUAAAUUCCAUCUAAGGCUAAAUAUUGGCGAGAGACCGAUAGCGAACAAGUACCGUGAGGGAAAGAUGAAAAGCACUUUGGAAAGAGAGUUAAACAGCACGUGAAAUUGUUAAAAGGGAAACGAUUGAAGUCAGUCGUGUGGGAGGUAUUCAGCCGUCUCUGGCGGUGUAUUUGCCUCUCACGGGUCAACAUCAGUUUGAUCCGGUAGAAAAAGGCGGGAGGAAGGUGGCACCCUCGGGUGUGUUAUAGCCUCCUGUCACAUGUGCCGGACCAGACUGAGGAACGCAGCUUGCAGCAAUGCCGGGGUUCGCCCACGUACAAGCUUAGGAUGUUGACAUAAUGGCUUUAAACGACCCGUCUUGAAC